rnacentral:piRNA from 1 species
UAGAUCCCUGCCUUAUAACUGUUUGUUGUUU